rnacentral:lncRNA from 1 species
AAUUUUUUUAACGUAUAGUUAUUGAUUAAAAUAUAAGAUGCUGGUUUUAUAAUUAUAUUUAUUUACAAAAAAAAAAUCAAAAUACGAUUAAAAAGCUAUCGAUUUAAUGUUAUAUGAAAAUAUUGAGGAAAAAUAAAGGUUAUCGUAUCAACCGUACUCGUAAACUAUCGAGAGGGGAAUGACCACGUAUUAUGGCCAUGUUAAGAGUAUUUUUCUAUUCAUACACGAUUUAUCCUAUAUCUGAAAUUUCCAGAAACUAAAACAAUAAAUGCUUUUACCAACAGUCAGUUUGAAUUGGAUGUUUUAAGAACAACAAGGAAUAAAAAAACUAGUGUUCAGACCGUUCUAAAAUGAUUGUACUUUCCCGCCUUAUACACUAUCUACGUUUUUGAGAUACUUUACAUCACUAAGUAAAUUAAUAAUAUCAUUUGAUGAAUACAACAAUAACUUACUAUGCAUGAAUAAUAAAAUGCUCGAAUAAAACAGAAACGAUUGGCCAUAUCAAGGAUACAGAUCUAUAUGUCCGAGUGGCCAUGGCAAGGAUACAGGGUGUUUAUGUUCGAGUGGCCACUCUAAUAAUAAUUUAUUGUAACCAGUGUUGGGAAAGAUAACCGAUAUUUUAAUAUCUAUAGAUACAAAGAUAACGACUUAAUAUUUACCUUAGAUCAAAAUAAACGAUACGGCUUGCAAUUAUUAUCCAGGAUAACAUGAAAUUAUAAUAAAUUAAGAUAAUUGAUAAAAAAAAAAAAAAAAAAAUUAUAUAUUUUUAAUAUUUAGGUGAUUCGUCGUGUACAAAACGAAAUAUUCAAAAUAAUUUUGGCAUAUAUAUUAUAAUAUAAUUGUAAUAGUAGUGAUUUACUGUAGAGUUAUUUCGAAAUCAAUUUGCAUAAUAUACUAUACAAAACCUAAUAUUAUUAUUAUGACGUGCAUUUCCGGGAUAUUGACUAGGUUACAGCAUGGUUAGAAGAAAAAAAUAAUACAAAUUUCCGACUAUAUUUAUGAAAAUAAAUCGGGUUUUAAAAGAUAUUUGAUCUAGAUUAUAUUUUUUUAAAUGGUUUCAUCUACAGACAAUCCCGACACUGAUUAUAAUUUUAAAUGACUCCGCGUCUAUGAUACCGAAUAAGAGCGAAAAUCUAUGGCUUUUAUUAUGCGCGCGACACCAACGAUAAAUGUAAAAACGGCCAUUCGAAUUUUUAUAAAUAUUUAAGUCGACGGAGGCAUUUGUGUUUUUUCCAAUAUUAUUAUAUUCUAUAGGUAGAGGCGUGUUUAUAAUAAUUUGACGUUUUUUUAAUAAUAAUUAUGUUAUACAUAUACACAUAUUUUAUAUUGUAAUUAAAUAUUUAUGGUUGGAUGUGUUUUUUAAAACAAAUUUGCAUUGGUUUUUUUUUUUUUUUUUACCACAAUAUUAGACAAUAACUGUACUGUAUGGAUAACAUAAUAUUAUAUUACGGUUUGUCGUGUUUGAUUAGAGGCACGUACGAAUAUAUUACAAUUUAUUAAAUAAAUAUAUUUUUCUUUUCUGAGCGACGUCACGAGAGAUGAACAAAGAUCGUCCCUAUACAGAGCAUAUCGAUCGUUAUAUUUGAAUUCCAUCCUUCCAACGACAAAAAAAAAAAAAAAAUCUGCCACUAAUACCUAUACACCCCCCACUAUUUGUGUUUGUUUCGUUUCGAACAAUAUUGUAUUUUUUACACACAUAUCAUUUGUUUUAUUUAAAUGGUCC